rnacentral:misc_RNA from 1 species
CAAGCAUGAGGUCGUCGGUUCGAUCCCGUCUGGCUCCACCAGAUGGUUUGAUCACCAACGGCGUUACCGUCAUCCGCGAAACAUCACUUCGCACUCAUUGGUCCGGAUGGACGGUGACGUGCGUGUUUUCUGACAUCGUAAAGAGGAGAUCGAUCCGAGUUUGGAUCAAGCGAAGCAAUUCGUCUGAACCAUUCAUUAUCUCCGGGAUCAUUUCGGCGCUCGCGCAUCGCAGUUCAUCGCAAGAUGAGUGGGGUGAGCGGGUUGUAAAUGAUCUCUUUUAGCGAAGCUUGACCGCCUCGCUAUCGGGCCGAUCUUACGAACCAAGCUGGUCUUUCUAGUCAAUGUCCGGCUGCGCAAUCGCAUUCAUCGAGGAUGCGUGCCUGGGACUUCGGUCUUCCGGCAGUUGCGCAGAACACAUUCUGCCGAGUGUGUGGACAUUGAUAAUGAGAGCAAUCAAGUGCCUUAAGGGUGUUCGGUGGAUGCCUUGGCGCUGAGAGGCGAUGAAGGACGUGCUACGCUGCGAUAAGCCGUGGGGAGCUGCGAAGAAACUUUGAUCCGCGGAUUUCCGUGGGGGGAAA